UACGUAGGGGGCUAGCGUUGCUCGGAAUCACUGGGCGUAAAGCGCGCGUAGGCGGAUUGCUAAGUCAGGGGUGAAAUCCUGGAGCUCAACUCCAGAACUGCCUUUGAUACUGGCGACCUUGAGUCCGGGAGAGGUGAGUGGAACUGCGAGUGUAGAGGUGAAAUUCGUAGAUAUUCGCAAGAACACCAGUGGCGAAGGCGGCUCACUGGCCCGGUACUGACGCUGAGGUGCGAAAGCGUGGGGAGCAAACAGG
rnacentral:rRNA from 1 species